GACGAACGCUGGCUGCGUGCUUAACACAUGCAAGUCGAACGCUGAAGCCUGGUGCUUGCACCGGGUGGAUGAGUGGCGAACGGGUGAGUAACACGUGAGUAACCUGCCCCUGACUUCGGGAUAAGCCCGGGAAACUGGGUCUAAUACCGGAUACGACUGCCAGACGCAUGUCUGGUGGUGGAAAGUUUUUUCGGUUGGGGAUGGGCUCGCGGCCUAUCAGUUUGUUGGUGAGGUAAUGGCUCACCAAGACGACGACGGGUAGCCGGCCUGAGAGGGCGACCGGCCACACUGGGACUGAGACACGGCCCAGACUCCUACGGGAGGCAGCAGUGGGGAAUAUUGCACAAUGGGGGAAACCCUGAUGCAGCGACGCAGCGUGCGGGAUGACGGCCUUCGGGUUGUAAACCGCUUUCAGCAGGGAAGAAGCGCAAGUGACGGUACCUGCAGAAGAAGUACCGGCUAACUACGUGCCAGCAGCCGCGGUAAUACGUAGGGUACGAGCGUUGUCUGGAAUUAUUGGGCGUAAAGAGCUCGUAGGUGGUUGGUCACGUCUGCUGUGGAAACGCAACGCUUAACGUUGCGCGUGCAGUGGGUACGGGCUGACUAGAGUGCAGUAGGGGAGUCUGGAAUUCCUGGUGUAGCGGUGAAAUGCGCAGAUAUCAGGAGGAACACCGGUGGCGAAGGCGGGACUCUGGGCUGUAACUGACACUGAGGAGCGAAAGCAUGGGGAGCGAACAGGAUUAGAUACCCUGGUAGUCCAUGCCGUAAACGUUGGGCACUAGGUGUGGGGGGCAUUCCACGUUCUCCGCGCCGUAGCUAACGCAUUAAGUGCCCCGCCUGGGGAGUACGGUCGCAAGGCUAAAACUCAAAGGAAUUGACGGGGGCCCGCACAAGCGGCGGAGCAUGCGGAUUAAUUCGAUGCAACGCGAAGAACCUUACCAAGGCUUGACAUACACCGGACCGUCCUGGAAACAGGUCCUCUUCUUUGAAGCUGGUGUACAGGUGGUGCAUGGUUGUCGUCAGCUCGUGUCGUGAGAUGUUGGGUUAAGUCCCGCAACGAGCGCAACCCUCGUUCUAUGUUGCCAGCACGUGAUGGUGGGAACUCAUAGGAGACUGCCGGGGUCAACUCGGAGGAAGGUGGGGAUGACGUCAAAUCAUCAUGCCCUUUAUGUCUUGGGCUUCACGCAUGCUACAAUGGCUGGUACAGAGAGAGGCGAACCCGUGAGGGCAAGCGAAUCCCUUAAAGCCAGUCUCAGUUCGGAUCGUAGUCUGCAAUUCGACUACGUGAAGUCGGAGUCGCUAGUAAUCGCAGAUCAGCAACGCUGCGGUGAAUACGUUCCCGGGCCU
rnacentral:rRNA from 1 species